UGAUUUGGCCUGUUUUACCCUUCCAAUACAAGAGCCAUCUCCAGCCUCUCCCUCCCAAGAUCAAGAAGCUCUCGAUUUCUCUUCCUAUUUCAUCCAUCGGCCUCUUCCUGUUUCACUUUCAGAGCACUGUUUCUCUUCCCGAUUUCUCUUCCCAAUUUCUUGCACCUUUUCAGAGCACUAUUUUGGCCAUCAAAACAGACUUGUGUUCUUCAAAUGCAGUGAGUAGAGAUCAAUCCCAAGUAUCUCCAAAUAAACCCUCAAGAAAAGCUUUCCAAUUCAAUCAAGGUAAAAACUGUCUGCCCUAACAUUCUUUCAACAUGUUUUCCCUUUUAUGUUUUUUUAUGACGAAAGAUUCAACAUUUCUAGAAAUUGAAUCAUGCAUUUACCUUUAACAUGAGGUUUUAGAAAGUUUAAUCAUGUAACUCUGCUGGUGUCGAAUUUCGUACUCAAAGUUUAGACCCAGUUUAGGCUUUUCUUCUCGGUACCGUACCUGCUCGUUGUUCUCAAAUUUUUUUGCUCCCUGAUGCACGUUCCACGUGCAGUUCAAUAUUUAUGUGAGAAUAAUGUUAAUUUGUUUACAGAUUCUGCCCGUCGAAUAAGGCCAAAAUCUGGCAUCUAUGUUGUUCUGCCCAAUUUCCCAGUAACAUAUUUUUCUAACUUUUCUGUUAAACUAAUUGCAUACCUGAACUUAUCAUGGUUUCUCUUUUCACCAUAAAUUUGGGUAUUCUCUGCCUCUGGUAGGGAAGAUUCCUAAAAUUGCUGGAGCAGACCACCUCCAACAUUCAACUUAACUUUUCUCUAUUCACGGACUCACCCAACGAUUGAACAAAGAAAAUAUUCCCUUUUCAUUUUCCCUUUCUACAUGUAUAUAAACUACUCACCGCUAUCCGUGCUUGAAUCAGGAUCAUAACUUUUGAUACCCAAAAAUAAUGUUGCUCUCCAAUCAGACUUCAACACUUAAACUCCACAACAUACAAGAAAAUGUCCUCAAAGUCUGGGCUAAACCAUAUUAUACAAUUGAUUGCCGACAGUGGAGAUAGAAAGCGAUGUACAGUGGGCUCCAAAAGCCCCUCCCAACAAUGCAUUGUUUGGUUAGGGGAAGAGUGUUGUGGAGGAACAUAUGUUAAUAUUUAAUUAAAAAAGGAAGCAUGGCCCAGAUUUUCUUGGUCAAGAAAACCAUGUGAUAUUCUAUUGUAUUGUUGAGUUAUAUAUAAAUUUUGUUGGGCCAACGUGGGUAGAAAAAUGGUGCAGGGUGGAGUCUGGAACUUGGAAUAUGUAGCUCAUCUGGGUUGGUUCAAUCAUUCAACAGAUUUUUACAGCAUAAGGGGAAAAAGUGUUUUUUUUUAGUAAAAAGAGUAAUGAAAACAACAGCUUUGUUGUGUAGUAAUUGAAAAUGGGUGUGGGGAUGUGUGGGUGUCCCCUUGAUGGGUAGUAUAGUUCCAGAUGAGAGACAAGAGUCUUGAUAUUUUAUGGUUCUUUGGCUAUGCAUCCACUUACUGUGUGGACUUAUCAUAUGAUAUAGAUGGUAUAUGCUUGAAAUUUCUUACUUCUAUUAUACAUCCUUAAAUGAUGAUGCUCUUUAAUUACCUUCUGGAUUUGCAUAUUUGGAAUCCAAUGUUUCUCUGUUUUGUUGCUCCUCAUUUUGUUCCGUAGGCUACAAAUGAUGGUGCUCAUUUUGCUCAUCAUUUUGUUUACCUUCUGGAUUUUGUUGCUUAAACUAUGUGAUCAUUUUGUUCCUCAUUCAAUGCUUGAAAUUGUAUUGUUGUUUAUUAAUUGGAAUGAUUUGAGGAGAUGUAAUUUUGUUUUACAUAUUUAGUU
rnacentral:lncRNA from 1 species